GAUGAACGCUGGCGGCGUGCCUAAUACAUGCAAGUCGAGCGAACAGAUGAGGAACUUGCUCCUCUGACGUUAGCGGCGGACGGGUGAGUAACACGUGGAUAACCUACCUAUAAGACUGGGAUAACUUCGGGAAACCGGAGCUAAUACCGGAUAAUAUAUUGAACCGCAUGGUUCAAUAGUGAAAGACGGUUUUGCUGUCACUUAUAGAUGGAUCCGCGCCGCAUUAGCUAGUUGGUAAGGUAACGGCUUACCAAGGCAACGAUGCGUAGCCGACCUGAGAGGGUGAUCGGCCACACUGGAACUGAGACAAGGUCCAGACUCCUACGGGAGGCAGCAGUAGGGAAUCUUCCGCAAUGGGCGAAAGCCUGACGGAGCAACGCCGCGUGAGUGAUGAAGGUCUUCGGAUCGUAAAACUCUGUUAUUUGGGAAGAACAAAUGUGUAAGUAACUAUGCACGUCUUGACGGUACCUAAUCAGAAAGCCACGGCUAACUACGUG
rnacentral:rRNA from 1 species